GGUCAAGCGAACAAGUGCAUGUGGUGGAUGCCUUGGCGAUCACAGGCGAUGAAGGACGCGGUAGCCUGCGAAAAGCUACGGGGAGCUGGCAAACGAGCUUUGAUCCGUAGAUGUCCGAAUGGGGAAACCCACUCCUUUUGGAGUAUCCAUGGCUGAAUACAUAGGCCAUGCGAAGCGAACGCGGUGAACUGAAACAUCUAAGUAACCGCAGGAAAAGAAAUCAACCGAGAUUCCCAAAGUAGUGGCGAGCGAAAUGGGAUGAGCCUUGCACUCUUUAUUUGUAUUGUUAGCCGAACGCUCUGGAAAGUGCGGCCAUAGCAGGUGAUAGCCCUGUAGGCGAAAACAGUAUGAAAGAACUAGGUGUGCGACAAGUAGGGCGGGACACGUGAAAUCCUGUCUGAAGAUGGGGGGACCAUCCUCCAAGGCUAAAUACUCGUGAUCGACCGAUAGUGAACCAGUACCGUGAGGGAAAGGCGAAAAGAACCCCGGGAGGGGAGUGAAAUAGAUCCUGAAACCGCAUGCAUACAAACAGUCGGAGCCUCGUAAGGGGUGACGGCGUACCUUUUGUAUAAUGGGUCAGCGACUUACGUUCAGUAGCAAGCUUAACCGUAUAGGGCAGGCGUAGCGAAAGCGAGUCCGAAUAGGGCGUUCAGUUGCUGGGCGUAGACCCGAAACCAGGUGAUCUAUCCAUGGCCAGGAUGAAGGUGCGGUAACACGUACUGGAGGUCCGAACCCACUAACGUUGAAAAGUUAGGGGAUGAGCUGUGGAUAGGGGUGAAAGGCUAAACAAACCUGGAAAUAGCUGGUUCUCUCCGAAAACUAUUUAGGUAGUGCCUCGUGUCUCACCUUCGGGGGUAGAGCACUGUCAUGGUUGGGGGGUCUAUUGCAGAUUACCCCGCCAUAGCAAACUCCGAAUACCGAAGAGUGCAAUCACGGGAGACAGACAUCGGGUGCUAACGUCCGGUGUCAAGAGGGAAACAACCCAGACCGCCAGCUAAGGUCCCCAAAUAUAGCUAAGUGGGAAACGAAGUGGGAAGGCUAAAACAGUCAGGAGGUUGGCUUAGAAGCAGCCACCCUUUAAAGAAAGCGUAAUAGCUCACUGAUCGAGUCGUCCUGCGCGGAAGAUGUAACGGGGCUAAGCUAUAUACCGAAGCUGCGGAUGCG
rnacentral:rRNA from 1 species